rnacentral:tRNA from 1 species
GGUUGUGGCUCAGCGGUAGAGCACUCACCUAGCAUGUGUGAGGCGCUGGGUUCGAUCCUCAGAACCA